GUCAGGCUCUUGUGGCAGAGAGGUAGCUGGUGGCAGUGUGCUGAGUGUCUUAUCAUCUUGGCAUGGCUGCAGCUGUUUUCUGGGUUUGGCAGUGAGCAUCAUUGAUACAGUAACUGGGAAAAGCUUAAUAUCAUAGGUCAGACUUAUUCCACAAAAGGAGAAAAAGGAAUAGGAUGGUCAUUAUACAGGUUCUCUUUAAAAGCUGAAAGGCCAGGGGCCAACAGAAGGGACUGAAGCAACUGAAUGCCUUGAAGAGACUGAAGCAAUACAAAGCUCCCUUCUCUCCUGCUCUCACCAACUCUUCCUUGCCCCUCUCAGGUGGCAAUUCCAGGAUCACAAUAUCAAAAAAUGAAAAUAUAGUCUCAGAUAAAUCAAGAAAGCAGGUGUCCAAAGAGGCUUGGCCUCAAAUGAGGAAAUUUGAUUGCAUCUAUGCAGUGAUAGAGCCACUAUCCUUUGGCAUCUUUUUCUAUACAACUCAGACUCUUCUCAAUUCACUUCAACAAAUAAGAAUUUCUAAAGCAUUCAUUACACACUCAUACUGCACUCAUGCAUCCACAGCUGCACGCGCAAGAACACAAUUCUUUUAGAUCAUAACCCAUUGAACACCACUGUUUUUUUUUUCCUCAACAACUGUUUACUGAGUAUGGGAAAGAAUAUGCAAAAAAGCCAUAACAGUACACUGUUAUUAUCCAGCUACAUCUACCAGACCAUUCCAGAAGUCCCAAAAUAUCUAAACUCCUCUCAUUAUACCAAAAAGAAAUGGCGAGCAUUCUUAUGAGCUACCAACAAAUGAAAGGGUGGUAAUAAAUUAUUUCUAAGAUUUCUUCA
rnacentral:lncRNA from 1 species